rnacentral:ncRNA from 1 species
GGCCCUGUAAUUGGAAUGAGUACACUUUAAAAGCUUUAACGAGUAUCCAUUGUAGGGCAAGUCUGGUGCCAGCAGCCGCGGUAAUUCCAGCUCCCAAAAGUAUAUAUUUAAGUUGUUGCGGUUAAAAAGCUCGUAGUUGGAUUUUGGGCGCAGGCGGCCGGUCCGUCGCAAGGCGUGUACUGGACGUCCUGGCCUUCCCCUCCGGUUCUCCGCCGGUGCUCUUGACUGAGUGUCGGCGGCGGCCGGAACGUUUACUUUGAAAAAAUUAGAGUGUUCAAAGCAGGCUCUCGAGCCUGGAUAAUGGUGCAUGGAAUAAUGGAAUAGGACCUCGGUUCUAUUUUGUUGGUUUUCGGAGCGCGAGGUAAUGAUUAAGAGGGACAGACGGGGGCAUUCGUACUGUGCCGUUAGAGGUGAAAUUCUUGGAUCGGCGCAAGACGAACGACUGCGAAAGCAUUUGCCAAGAAUGUUUUCUUUAAUCAAGAGCGAAAGUCAGAGGUUCGAAGACGAUCAGAUACCGUCCUAGUUCUGACUAUAAACGAUGCCAACUAGCGAUCGGGGGGCGUUACAUUGACGACCCCUCCGGCAGCUUACGGGAAACCAAAGUUUUUGGGUUCCGGGGGAAGUAUGGUUGCAAAGCUGAAACUUAAAGGAAUUGACGGAAGGGCACCACCAGGAGUGGAGCCUGCGGCUUAAUUUGACUCAACACGGGAAAUCUCACCCGGCCCGGACACAGUGAGGAUUGACAGAUUGAGAGCUCUUUCUUGAUUCUGUGGGUGGUGGUGCAUGGCCGCCCUUACCCGGUGGAGCGAUUUGUCUGGUUAAUUCCGAUAACGAACGAGACUCUGGCUUGCUAAAUAGUUACGCGACCAUCCCGGUCGGCGUUUAACUUCUUAGAGGGACAAGUGGCGUUUAGCCACACGAGAUUGAGCAAUAACACGUCUGUGAUGCCCUUAUAUGUUCGGGGCCGAACGCGCGCUAC